rnacentral:rRNA from 1 species
AAUCUGGUUGAUCCUGCCAGUAGUCAUAUGCUUCUCUCAAGGACUAAGCCAUGCAUGUGUGGGAGUACACGGCAUUGAAAGUGAAUCUGUGAAUGGCUCAUUACAUCAGUCACAAUCGUUACGGAGCGUGUGAGGGGACCAGCCUGUCCACCUCACAGAAUGGAAGAUACCGAUCCUAACUGGCUUGUUAAUACACGGAAGUUGGCACUCUCCUUGAACCCAUGUGGAUACGCAUCCUGAUUGUUGUUACACCCCAUUCAAUCGGUUGUGUCUCUGGUUCACACCUGGCCGUUCCUAUCCAUUUGGCAAUCAGGUGAAGGAGAUGGUCACACUGGGCUUUGUGUUGCAAGAUCUGUGCUCGAAAGAGCAGCGUGUUUUCGAUGAUUCAGGCUGAAUGACUGGAGUUAUGGCAAAGCAGGGUGACAAUUUAUGCUGGCCCCUUGCGUCUUGGAGCGAACUUCUGACCUAUCAGCUCUUGAUUGUGGUGUCGUGGACUACAAUGGCUUUCACAGGUAACGGAGAAUGAGGGUUUGAUACCGGAGAGGGAGCCUGAGAGAUGGCUACCACCGCUAAGGCGGGCAGCAGGCGCGCAAAUUGCCCUAUACCAGCACUGUUUGGUGAGGCAGCAACGAGUCGUGGCAGUUCUGUUGGCCAUUGGADGUCAGCAGGUCUCGCAAUGGAUGUGAUCUAAAUCCGGCAAUGAGCAUCAACUGGAGGGCAAGUCUGGUGCCAGCAGCUGCGGGUAAUUCCAGCUCCAAGUGCGUAUACUAAUGUUGCUGCUGUUAAAACGCUUGUAGUCCGAUACCUGGUGCGGGGCCUGGCAUGGAUUGUUCGGAUCAGUUUGUGGUGAUUCGUGCGGUCCUUGUCAGGAAUGAUGACAGAUCCUGUCCUUCCUGCAUCUACUCCUAUGCAAGCCAUCUCUCUGAAUGGACCGUUGUCUGAUCUUACAGGCAUGAAAGAGAUGCUGCAUGUGUCAUUGUGAACAACCCAAUGCGACCAAAGCAACCGCAGAAUGGCUGUAUGAUUACUCACGAGAUGACAAUGGGAUCGACCUGGAAAGUGGUGCUGCAUGUUUACAGAAUCCUUGUGCCACCGAUGGACAAUGCGGUGCCACCUGGUUCUUACUACCUGGUUAGAUGCGACACUGUUGGCUCCCUGCUGUUGGUGGCAAGUCCGUGACUCACCGGAUUGAUGGUACAUCCGAAGUGCUGAUAUGACACGCAGAGUGAAUCUAGAUCGCAGUGGAUCGACUGCGGCAAAGCGUUGUGCACGAUUCUGUCCGUUGAUCAAAAACGAGAGUGUGGGAGCAAAGAUGAUCAGAUACCGUGUAGUCCAUCUCCGUAAGCGAUGUGAGCCUGGCGUCGAUGGUUGUGAUAUCGAUCCUCUCAGUUCCACCAUCGGUUCCGUUGUCUACCCCAUAACGAGAAAUCCAAGCUUGUGGAUUCAGGGGGGAGUACUGUCGCAAGGCUGAAACUUAAAGGAAUUGACGGAUUGCACCACCAGGCGUGGAGUAUGCGGCUUAAUUUGAUUCAACACGGGGAAUGUUACCAGGUCAGGACGUGGCUGGGAUUGACAGAUUGAAAGCCCUUUCUUGAUUCUUUGGACGGUGGUGCAUGGCCGCUCCUGAUUGGUGGAGUGAUCUGUCUGGUUGAGUCCGAUAACGAGUGAGAUCUCUACCUUCGAAUAGUCACCGGUCUCGCACACAUGUAGGGCAGAGUUCAAGUCUUGUGCUUGUUCCGAGCCUGAGAGUGCCGGGUGUCUAUUGCUUCUCCAAGGUGCCGGUGCACGCUGCCAAGUGUCCGUAAGCCAGAGUCAACAGCAGGUCUGUGAUGCUCCUAGAUGUUCUGGGCCGCACGCGCACUACAAUGAUGCAAUGAAAGCGCUUACCAUGUUGUUCCAUUUGCAGACUGGGGUCCGUCGCUCAAUGUCAAUUCAACGUGCGGAAUGUUCAUUUGCAGGUGUCCUGUCCUGAAGAGGAUGGGCAAUCCUACAGCCUGCACCGUGUCCGGGAUCGAUGCUUGCAACUGUUUGUUGUGAACGAGGAAUGCCUAGUAUACGCACGUCAUCACCUUGCAUCGACUGCGUCCCUGCCAAUUGUACACACCGCCCGUCGUUACUACCGAUGGUUGUUGGACAGAGACUUCAUGAGACAAUGACCCUCAGAGGGCGUGCCAACCCAGACCUGGUGUCUGAGGCAGGUCCCUGAUCAAGUCCGGUCGUUGUUGAAUUUAGCCAAUGUCCUGCAGCUAGAGGAAGCAAAAGUCGUAACAAGGCUGCUGUAGAUGAACCUGCAGAAGGAUCAC